rnacentral:rRNA from 1 species
AGUAAAAGUCGUAACAAGGUCUCCGUUGGUGAACCAGCGGAGGGAUCAUUACAGAGUUGCAAAACUCCCACAAACCAUCGCGAAUCUUACCCGUACGGUUGCCUCGGCGCUGGCGGUCCGGAAAGGCCUUCGGGCCCUCCCGGAUCCUCGGGUCUCCCGCUCGCGGGAGGCUGCCCGCCGGAGUGCCGAAACUAAACUCUUGAUAUUUUAUCUCUCUCUGAGUAAACUUUUAAAUAAGUCAAAACUUUCAACAACGGAUCUCUUGGUUCUGGCAUCGAUGAAGAACGCAGCGAAAUGCGAUAAGUAAUGUGAAUUGCAGAAUUCAGUGAAUCAUCGAAUCUUUGAACGCACAUUGCGCUCGCCAGUAUUCUGGCGAGCAUGCCUGUUCGAGCGUCAUUUCAACCAUCAAGCUCUGCUUGCGUUGGGGAUCCGCGGCUGUCCGCGGUCCCUCAAAAUCAGUGGCGGGCUCGCUAGUCACACCGAGCGUAGUAACUCUACAUCGCUAUGGUCGUGCGGCGGGUUCUUGCCGUAAAACCCCCCGAUUUCUAAGGUUGACCUCGGAUCAGGUAGGAAUACCCGCUGAACUUAAGCAUAUCAAUAAGCGGAGGAAAAGAAACCAACAGGGAUUGCCCCAGUAACG